GCCUUCAUGGUGUAGUGGUCAGCACGCUCGACGCGUAACCGAGAGGUCCGUGGUUCGAUUCCCGGUGAAGGCG
rnacentral:tRNA from 1 species